rnacentral:rRNA from 1 species
UACAGAGGUCUCAAGCGUUGUUCGGAUUCAUUGGGCGUAAAGGGUGCGUAGGCGGCGCGGUAAGUUGGGUGUGAAAUCUCGGAGCUUAACUCCGAAACUGCAUUCGAUACUGCCGUGCUUGAGGACUGGAGAGGAGACUGGAAUUUACGGUGUAGCGGUGAAAUGCGUAGAUAUCAGGAGGAACACCGGUGGCGAAGGCGGUUCUCUGGGCAUUACCUGACGCUGAGGAGCGAAAGCAUGGGGAGCAAACAGG